rnacentral:lncRNA from 1 species
CAAGCCUCUCACUACCGCAACCCAAGUGCAGGUGUGCAGAGCCAAGGGGCCUCCUCAUGCUGCCAUGGACAUCAGAGCCCCACGGUGGGCCAGCAGAACAGGGAGGAUGCUCAACAAUGCCUGACCCAUAGAGAAGAGGCCGACAUUGAACUCUCUUCCAACUGAGCUUUGUGUACGUGAAGAGGCAAAAUGCGGAGCAAGAGAGGUUAGGCUGAGUACCUGAUCAAAUUUAUUCAGAGAAGAAUCUGUUUGCGGAGGAACCAGACACUGGGAAGCUGCAAAGGAUACACAGGUUGUAGGGGCCGAAGAAAAAAAUCCCACCUCCUUCCCUGUUGUCUUUGUCCAUGGAAGCUCUUCCUGUGGUAUGCCUGUUUGUAUGCCUGACUUUGGAUUAUCCCAUCAAUACCAAUUCAGAGUGUUUUCCCACAUUCCUUGACAUUGUGCGCUUGCUACUACACAAGCAUGAGGACUUGAGUUCGGAUCUCAAGCCCUCACACAAGUGUCCCAGCAUAUAGCGAGACUCCCAGGACCCUUUCCAUGUGGCUUCGUGGCCAGAUAUCAAGCAAUGCUGCCAAUUCUGAAGAAGCUGAUAUAGAAGAUGAAGAUAAUGGGGUAGAAGAAAAGCCAUUCAAAAAUGAACUCCUUGGAAAAGCCUGUUGUUAAGGCGAGGCAGAAGACACGCACCAAGCUCACCGCCCAAGGGCCCAAGUCCAAAAACCGUCCCAGCAAGUCCAAUGCUCUCAGCCGGUGCACCUGGCUUAGCAGCACCUGGAAAACAGAGAAAGACAUGGAGCCACCGAAGCAGGACACCUGACUGCUACCACCCCUCCGAGAAAGCUCCAGUGUGAGCUGGUGGCCCUGAGGGUCUGACAACACAACCCCACGGCUUCUGUUCUAGCUGGGCUUCUGCCUGUCAAUUCGUGCUUUAGACAGACUGAGAAAAUACUUCAUUACCCAAGUAAACUAUGCCACCCGCACCAAGUACCAGUGUGAGCAGCACACUGUGCUCAGCAGGCCCUCACUGCUGCUCUGCUCUCUGUGCAGCAAGGUCUAUCCCACUUCCUUUUUCAGUGAGAUUAUACAUGGUGAGGGCUGUUCCCCUCCCUAGACACUUGGGACAAUAUUUCUCUCUCCCAGUGGAAGCACAGUGUGUCCUCUGUAGAAAUGUGCAUGGCUUGUUUAAAUGAUUUCCCUAAUGCUAGACAUCACAGACAACUCUGACAAAUGUCCUAAUCUGCACAGCUUUUCACAAUUGUCUUCUCCUGAGGAUGAAGUGAAGAAGUGAAAUUAUAGGUUGUAACAUCUAUAAUUAAGAACUAGCCGUUGGCUAGACCACUCCACCCUUUUAACAAGAAGCAUCACCCAUAACACUUGCUGGAUGUGACCGGGCAAACAAAGUGCCCGGUGUCUCUGGUUUAUUAAUGCUCAGUACAAGGUCAACACAAUCCUCAGGAACAGACACAGAGUCUCCUGGGACAGCACUGUCCACUGUCACCACUCAAUACAAACACAAGGAUCAUUAUCGAAGCCUAUGGGAGCAAUAUAAAGUACUGCUUAUUUUUCCCCCCAAUAGCACAUUUUCUGUUUCUUCUAUUGAUUAAAACCUUUUAAAAAAC